CCUACGGGAGGCAGCAGUGAGGAAUAUUGGUCAAUGGGCGGGAGCCUGAACCAGCCAAGCCGCGUGAGGGAAGAAGGUACAGCGUAUCGUAAACCUCUUUUGUCAGGGAACAAAGGCGGGGACUAGUCCCCGGAUGAGGGUACCUGAAGAAAAAGCAUCGGCUAACUCCGUGCCAGCAGCCGCGGUAAUACGGGGGAGGCGAGCGUUAUCCGGAUUUAUGGGGUUUAAAGGGUGCGCAGGCGGCCUGUUAAGUCAGCGGUAAAAGCCCGGGGCUCAACCCCGGCGAGCCGUUGAAACUGGCGGGCUGGAGUUGGAGAGAGGUACGCGGAAUGCGAGGUGUAGCGGUGAAAUGCUUAGAUAUCGCGCAGAACCCCGAUUGCGAAGGCAGCGUACCGGCUCCACACUGACGCUGAGGCACGAAAGCGUGGGUAUCGAACAGGAUUAGAUACCCGAGUAGUC
rnacentral:rRNA from 1 species